rnacentral:rRNA from 1 species
AACGCGAAGAACCUUACCAGCCCUUGACAUGUGACUCGCCGGCCUCAGAGAUGGGGCCUUCGGUUCGGCCGGAGUCAGCACAGGUGCUGCAUGGCUGUCGUCAGCUCGUGUCGUGAGAUGUUGGGUUAAGUCCCGCAACGAGCGCAACCCUCGUCUCCAGUUGCCAUCAGGUUAUGCUGGGCACUUUGGAGAAACUGCCGGUGACAAGCCGGAGGAAGGUGGGGAUGACGUCAAGUCCUCAUGGCCCUUACGGGCUGGGCUACACACGUGCUACAAUGGCGGUGACAAUGGGAUGCGAAGGCGCGAGCCGGAGCCGAUCCUAAAAAACCGUCUCAGUUCGGAUUGCACUCUGCAACUCGAGUGCAUGAAGUUGGAAUCGCUAGUAAUCGAGGAUCAGCAUGCCUCGGUGAAUACGUUCCCGGGCCUUGUACACACCGCGCAUA